rnacentral:rRNA from 1 species
UACGUAGGGGGCAAGCGUUGUCCGGAAUCAUUGGGCGUAAAGCGCGCGUAGGCGGCCCGGUAAGUCCGUUGUAAAAGUCAAAGGCUCAACCUUUGAAAGCCGAUGGAUACUGCCGGGCUCGAGUCCGGAAGAGGCGAGUAGAAUUCCUGGUGUAGCGGUGGAAUGCGCAGAUAUCAGGAGGAAUACCCAUAGCGAAGGCAGCUCGCUGGGACGGUACUGACGCUGAGGCGCGAAAGCGUGGGGAGCAAACAGG